GGAGCGGCCCGGGUGAUCGCCGGCGCGGCGUGCUCGCACGCGGCGCGGGAGGAAAGUCCGAGCUCCACAGGGCAGGAUGCCAGCUAACGGCUGGUGGGGGCGACCCCCAGGAAAGUGCCACAGAGAGCAGACCGCCGCGCCGCCCCUCGGGGCCGCGCGGUAAGGGUGAAAGGGUGAGGUAAGAGCUCACCGGGCCGGCGGUGACGUCGGUCGCACGGCAAACCCCAUCCGGAGCAAGACCGAAUAGGGAAGCGCUACCAGGGCGGCCCGCCCGAGCUUCCGGGUUGUGUCGCUCGAGGCCCGUGGCAACGCGGGCCCUAGAUGAAUGAUCGCCACCCGCCGACGGCGACGAGAGCGGGAACAGAACUCGGCUUAUGGGCCCUCCGACC
rnacentral:RNase_P_RNA from 1 species